rnacentral:rRNA from 1 species
UACAGAGGGUGCAAGCGUUAAUCGGAUUUACUGGGCGUAAAGGGCGCGUAGGUGGUUAUUUAAGUGAGAUGUGAAAUCCCCGGGCUUAACCUGGGAACUGCAUCUUAUACUGGGUAACUGGAGUGCAGUAGAGGGUAGUGGAAUUUCCGGUGUAGCGGUGAAAUGCGUAGAUAUCGGAAGGAACACCAGUGGCGAAGGCGGCUACCUGGACUGAGACUGACACUGAGGCGCGAGAGCGUGGGGAGCAAACAGG